rnacentral:lncRNA from 1 species
ACUGUUGACAUUUCGUCUUUUGUCAAAGUUAGUGUAACCUGUCGACGACUGUCACAGAGAUGGAAAGUCGUCCGGAGUUCCAUCGUCUUAUAUACUGCGAAAAGGACUCACAACUUGUCACUCAAGUUCAGAUUUCAGGGUUCCGCCCGAGGAAGCAGCCACACAGACUCCGAAAGCAGAAGAGCAGAGUUUAAACUAACCUUUUGCGCAGGUUUUUGUCAACAGCCAAUCUGACCGCGGUUCAUCAACCGCGAACGGAGCACUUCCAUCUCUGCGGAAUUCAAGUUUAUGAGAGUUUACUGGAAUCCAAACCGAUCGCACAGUUGAAUGGAAAGUGGUAAAUCAUGUCCGCACUCUCACUGGCACUUUCUGCUUUUAUCUGAUUUGUCAGCCAUUUUCACGGAAAAGCGAACGACAUUAACGCAACAUCACUUUGCUAAAAAGUUUGGCGCAUUUCAAACUUACAUCCAUUACCAGUCAAAUGUAAGGGACUCAGCAGCGCAAGGCGUCACCAUUCGAGAUGUUAUCCUGUGACCAUUAAAACCAAUAAAAGCUUAGAGUGCCAGCCAGGUCGAUGAAAAUGAUAAUUUUUUUCUGGAAUAAAGGAAUUUAAGGAGCGGAAGCAAGUUCCUGAAUAAAGACGUCCAGUGGCGGAGUAGUUUUUCCAGCCGAGCAGGGGGCCUUCCGGCACAUCCAGUGGAAGAUACGUGGACUAAAGAAGUCGCCAAAAUUGAAAUAGGAUAAAUGAGCAUUCGACUGGUGGAAUCGGGAAUAACGAACUCUGCUGGGAAAACAAGUCGAGGACAUGCAUUUCAACCUUUGGAUUUUUGUCUGGCGGCCGCUUAUUCAUCUUCUUGAUAUUGGUGUAAACGACUAAACUGCUCAAGGCUUCCAACAGCAGAUUUGAAUAUUGUCUAUUUGGAAUCACCUAUGCCAUCUUCUGGGACUGAAAAGAAUGAAGUCUGAAUAGGAAGGCGGUCGAGUUGCAUAAAUUGGCAACGCCGUUUCCACCAAAGUACGUCUGCAUCAUUGUUGGACAUGAACGUCUGCAUCACUGUUGGACAUGAAUGUGUGGUGCUGGUGCAUGGUGUGGUGAUUUACACUUAUUUAUCGUUACAGCCUUGCAGCAUGUACCGGCUGUACGUUUCGUCACAUGGAAAAAAAACUACAGAUGAACAAUAACAACAAGAUGAACAAUAAAACCUGGUGAAAUCUGAGCUUCUUCAUUGCAGUCCGAUGUGCACAUGGAUUUGUUGCAGCCAGCUGGCGGAAGGUGUUCCUCUUUGAGGCUUGCUACCUGUAGUGGUUGUAGCUUUCAUUACAUGCAGAAACACUACAGAACAAUUUAAAGUUUAUCCUGUAUUGUUCCCGUAGUUGCUGUCCGAUGUCGUUGUUGCAGCCUAUGCUGGUGAAAAAUCAUUUUUGCAUCAAGUUAAACUGGUUCUUCCUUGGUUCUAGUGUCGUGUUACGGAAGUUGAAUCAUUAUUUUGUUAAAUUGUCAUUGUAUCUGCAGUCUACCGUUGUAUGUUCAGAAAGAACAAAAACAGAAAUAUGGGGAUGUGUUAAGUAAAACAAAUAAUAAACAUGUUUUUGGGAUUGGGAAAGGAAAGUGGAGGAUGUUGGAGGGGGGAGGAUAUUUCAAGUUUGGAUAAAAAAUCUGUUAAUCUAAAACCCUACAAACAUAUCCCUAUUACCUAACUAAUCUCUAAACCCCACAAACAUAUACCUUCCAAUUCUUCAAACCCCCACAACCUCCAAAUUUAUAACCUAAACCCCAUGAAACCAAUGCUAAACUUUAACAAUGUAAUAACUGUAAUAAAUAAAAACAAAUAUAUGAUUUGAA